GCGGAAGUGGCGGAACCGGCAGACGCGCACGUUUGAGGGGCGUGUGGGGAAACCCGUGAGGGUUCAAGUCCCUCCUUCCGCA
rnacentral:tRNA from 4 species